rnacentral:rRNA from 1 species
UACGGGGGGAGCAAGCGUUGUUUGGAUUUACUGGGCGUAAAGGGCGCGUAGGCGGCCAGCACAAGUCAGUUGUGAAAUCUCCGAGCUUAACUCGGAAAGGUCAACUGAUACUGUGCGGCUAGAGUGCGGAAGGGGCAACUGGAAUUCUUGGUGUAGCGGUGAAAUGCGUAGAUAUCAAGAGGAACACCUGCGGCGAAGGCGGGUUGCUGGGCCGACACUGACGCUGAGGCGCGAAAGCCAGGGGAGCGAACGGG